rnacentral:rRNA from 1 species
GACGAACGCUGGCGGCGUGCUUAACACAUGCAAGUCGAACGGAAAGGCCCUGCUUUUGUGGUGUGCUCGAGUGGCGAACGGGUGAGUAACACGUGAGUAACCUGCCCUUGACUUUGGGAUAACUUCAGGAAACUGGGGCUAAUACCGGAUAGGAGCUCCUGCUGCAUGGUGGGGGUUGGAAAGUUUCGGCGGGUGGGGAUGGACUCGCGGCUUAUCAGCUUGUUGGUGGGGUAGUGGCUUACCAAGGCUUUGACGGGUAGCCGGCCUGGGAGGGUGACCGGCCACAUUGGGCCUGAGAUACGGCCCAGACUCCUACGGGAGGCAGCAGUGGGGAAUAUUGCACAAUGGGCGGAAGCCUGAUGAAGCAACGCCGCGUGCGGGAUGACGGCCUUCGGGUUGUAAACCGCUUUCGCCUGUGACGAAGCGUGAGUGACGGUAAUGGGUAAAGAAGCACCGGCUAACUACGUG